CUAAGUAAAGCGGGCAAUACGCGUUCCGCUGCACUGGGAUCUACCUAACAAAUUUGGAUAUCAUGAAGGCAGCCGUGGCUAUGCUUCUUGUCACCAUUAGCGCUCUCCUUUUCUUUGGGACUAUAGCAGUUCCUACUGCUGAAUCUGAAGCUAGAGCCGGAGCUUCACAGGAAGCCCUGCGAUCUGAUGCUGCAGCGCACGAAUCAGAAAGAGGUAUUGGUGCUGGCUGCGCGGCCUCUCUCUGCGGUUAGCACCUACAAGGACGGCACCCUCGUCGAUGAUGCAGACGAGAAGAAACCACGCCUUCGAUGCGUUCUCGCAGUAAAACAUUGGUAGUGGUGGCGGUAAUAAAUUUCUACUCAACAGAUUUGCUAUAGCGCAGUGUGUACUACUGAUUAUUAAAG